GGUGGCCGGGCGGGGGGCCGGGCGGUCAACCGCCCAUCGCCCGCCACCCGUCCGGGUGAGCCGCUUGCACGCUCUGUGUGCGGGCGGCUACGUUCACCGCCACAAGCACCCACAUAGUUCGGCCCCCGGCCGGGACUGGCAUCCCGAUCGAGGGCCUGACCACUCAGGAAGAAAACGGCUUCCCG
rnacentral:ncRNA from 1 species